GCACAUGACAAACAUUUGUAUUGGCUAUACAGAUGUUUGCCGUGGUAUGGGUGUUUGUGCAGUCCUUGUGGGUAUCUCUACCGUCCCUCGGAAACACGUUAAGUCGUCGGUCCCGGUUGUUAUUACACCUGAUAGUGAUCGUUACUCACAUUCGGUAUUAUUUCCGCCAACUUGACUGUCAACUGUCUUGGAGCAGCGUGGUGGAUUAAGCUCUGAUCAUUUUCCUACAUGGGCAUAGAGGUCUAUGCCCAGCUGUGGGACAUAACAGGCUGAAGCAAAAAAAAAAAAUAAACUACUAAAUAUAUUGCUUUGCGCAAAAUUCGAAAAUGACUGAAUCAAAUCGA